rnacentral:rRNA from 1 species
CAGCCAUUCAUUUAAAGAGUGCGUAACAGCUCACUAGUCGAGCGAUCCGGCAUGGAUAAUAAUCGGGCAUAAACAUACUACCGAAGCUAUGGACUUGUAAAAGUGGUAGGGGAGCAUUGUAGUGUCGUCGAAGGUGUACUGCGAGGUAUGCUGGAGAAGCUACAAAAGAAAAUGUAGGCAUAAGUAACGAUAAUGCGGGCGAGAAACCCGCACACCGAAAGACUAAGGUUUCCUCAGCUAUGCUAAUCAGCUGAGGGUUAGUCGGGACCUAACACGAACCCGAAAGGGGUAGUGGAUGGACAACAGGUUAAUAUUCCUGUACCUGCUCACACUAAAAGUGACGGAGGCGUAUAUUUGGUGCGAACUGACGGAAUAGUUCGUUGAAGCCAGUGGUAACACGGCGAUAGUACACUGAGACUACGGUCAAGGUGAUAAUCCAGAGAAGCGACUUCCAAGAAAAGCGAGUGAAGCAGCCCGUACCCUAAACCGACACAGGUAGUUGGGAUGAGAAUUCUAAGGUGCUCGAGAGAUUCAUGGCUAAGGAACUAGGCAAAAUAGACGCGUAACUUCGGGAGAAGCGUCGCCUGUAGUAAUACAGGCCGCAGUGAAAAGAUCCAAGCGACUGUUUAUCAAAAACACAGGGCUCUGCGAAGCCGCAAGGCGACGUAUAGGGUCUGACGCCUGCCCGGUGCCUGAAGGUUAAAAGGAGGGGUGCAAGCUCCGAAUUGAAGCCCAGGUAAACGGCGGCCGUAACAAUAACGGUCCUAAGG